GUGAUAUUAAAACAUAAAGAAAGUGAAGAAAGUUUAGUGGUCACAAUCGUUAUUACGGUCUUGGUCUCUGUGCUCAUUAUCGUUCUGGUGUUUGUUGUGGCCUACUUUUAUCGAAAAAGAUUUGUAAAAAACAGUAGAAGAGGAAAUUCAGCAGAUCAAAAUUCUUCACCGGUUGUUGAAGAGUUGCAAAACCUUUCCAACAACCAAGCAUCUCCGACAGAAUCUGAAAUUUAUGUUAUACCAAGAGCAGAACAGGAAUACCUGUAUAAAAACACUAACCAGAGAAUAUCGUGUGCGCAAUCCCAAGGUCCUGAGUACGAGAAUCCAGGGAGCCCCAAAUACGAAUCUCCUGAAAUCCACCCGAACCAUCAAUACGAGUAUCCUUCUCUCGGUGCGACAGGAAAGAAAGAUGUCGGUGUGAAGGACGGCGAGUAUUUUCCACUUAGAAGGCCGCUAUUUGAGAAUAAUGAUGAUGAUCUGUCCGGUUAUACAUCUCUUUUGAAACUGAAUCGUUCAUAAGGUCACAAGGGAGCACAACGAUCGUUUACAACACGUAUUUUAAAAUAAGCAACACCUUUUAAAGGAUAUUUUCAUAAUUAAUUUUAAACAUCGUUAAUGAGCAAUAAUAUAGCUCAUCCUAUAAAAAGUCUUUUAUGAAGUUAUUAAAGCAGCAUUAGUAUUAAGGGUACAGCUGCUUACAUGAGCCCGGUUACCUGAAACUAAACGAACAGUGAUUGAAAGUCUUUAUGAAACAAAACAAGACAUUAGUUCUUGCUACCAUCAAAACAAGAUCAUCACUACCAGGAUGAUUAUCAACCUCGUUUCCAGGUUACUCAUUCUGCUCAAAUGUGGGCAGAAUGGAAACCGUGAGAACAAGAUGAAAAUCAAAAUCGCGGCCAAUUAAACGGGAUCAUAUGAACAGCUUCACAGUUCAUUGUCUGAUGAAAAUCCGUUUAUAACUGUAUGAGUGCGGCAUAUUUUUGAGAUCUAUAUAUUUCGGAUUGAGAUGUUCUUUUCGUCCUAUCACAUUGGCAACUUUGUCUUGUGGGAUCCUUUAUACUUCAAUAAAACGAUAGUUACAGCAUGAAAAAUAGUGAACAAAGUCUAGCCAAAAAGGGAAGUGAAAUUAGUGAAGUGAAUGAUAAUGAUAGCGUAGUACUGAUAGUAGACCAUAAACCACUUAGAAACCAUUUUGGGUGGAUUUCCACUUGCACAGACAUAGUUGAUAAUAGUUCGCUAGCAAAAUAUUUGCAUAUUUUCUUUUGAAUAAGAGCAUUCAAGCUGAACUAAUAAAAAGGAAAUAUGUAAAAUUUCUCUAGCGAACUGUGCCUCUGCGAAAGUGGAAAUCCACCCUAUCCUACCUACACUCGAGUGAAGUGCAUGAAGUGCCACAAAAUCAUAAAUACGUUGGCUUUAGUUGAUUUUCUGCCCAUAUAUAAGUCAACUGAGAAGUGAAUAGACCGGUUCAGCUGGCAUGCAAAUUAAAACAUUUCAGAUGUUGUGACCAUGGAAUAGCCAAUAAAACUUAAUAAUUUGCAUACAAGCUGAAAAGGUCUAUUGGAUGCGACCAAAUUGGAUUAUCUAAAAAAACCUUUACAUAGCACCAUAUACGUAAAAUAAACUGUAUUUCGUUUUGAACGUUAGGUUAUAAAUCUUAUUUAGCUGCAUACAUGAGAAAAAUACAACAUCCAUAGGAGGGACUCUCUAUUCCCCCAAUAACAAAUAUUUUAUUCAGUAGUACUCUGUACCUAUCACCUUUGUUAGUAUUUCUGCCACCGACUGUAACCAGCACAAAGCAAAACAACUCCCAGAAACUUGUAAACAUAGAAAUCGAUAUAUUCAUGCAAAUGACUCAUGUUUGCUACGGUUCUCGCAAAAGCCUUCAGAGCUUUCACAUCCGAGGAAUAACAAAGAAAUAUAUG
rnacentral:lncRNA from 1 species